GGAAGGAUCAUUAACACUGCGCUGGCUUCGGCCGGACAACCCCAAACAACCUGUGCGAACUGUGAUCGUCCGUUUCAUUUUGAACACCACACACACAACGACACUAAAGCGAAUACAAUAACCAAAGAUACAACUCUUAGCAAUGGAUAUCUUGGUUCCCACAACGAUGAAGAACGCAGCGAAAUGCGAUACGUAAUGCGAAUUGCAGAAUUCAGUGAAUCAUCAAAUCUUUGAACGCAAGUUGCGCUUUCGAGAUACCCUUGAAAGCAUGCCUCUUUGAGUAUCAGUUUCCAUCUUCGGGUUCGCCCGAGCGAAUGAGACUGAGUCUCUGUGACUCUGUCUUGAAAUCAGACGCGAACGUGAUGGACAGUCGUCGUGGACUUUGUGAAAAUCAAGUCAGCCGUCGCUGUCAGCUCCGUUCGCCACGGAAUGUGUGUGUGUGUGCUUUUGCGCGCGCACGCUCAACACUCUAGAUCUCAAAUGAGGUAAGACUACCCGCCGAAUUUAAGCAUAUAAUUAAGCGGAGGAAAAGAAACUAACAAGGAUUCCCCUAGUAACGGCGAGUGAAGCGGGAAGAGCUCAAACCGAAAAUCUCCGGGGUGAAAACACCGGCGAAUUGUGGUCUAUUGAAGCGUGUCUCAGCGAGCGGUCCCGGUCCAAGUCGAUUGGAACAUCGCAUCGGAGAGGGUGAGAAUCCCGUUCUUGACUGGGUGUCCGCCGCGUUCGAGCCGCUCUCAAAGAGUCGGGUUGCUUGGGAGUGCAGCCCUAAGUGGGUGGUAAAUUUCAUCUAAAGCUAAAUACAUGUGGGAGACCGAUAGCGAACAAGUACCGUGAGGGAAAGAUGAAAAGAACUUUGAAAAGAGAGUCAAAAAGUACUUGAAAUUGCUGAGAACGAAGGGAUGGCGUCUAGUAAUGAUCCGGGCGACACCCGUAUCGCUGUCGAUCCGUGCCGCAUGCAAUUGCUUCUGGCUUUGCGCGGGGCGGUCGUCGGCGGUGCUGCGGGGUCAUGUCGUUCGGGUCGAGGUCAGAAUGGAUUCGUGGCGGUCGAAAACGUCGACGGGAAGGUAGCCUGGAGGUUUGCGCCUCUUUGAACUUAUAGCCCGCCGUCGAGAGACUGUCAUGGAUCGAGGUGCUGAAGCGCGCGCUCUAAGCUCUUGGUGCUUCGCCCGCUGUCGGGUACGUCGUCGUUGGGGAACAAAGUUCCGCUUCGGCCGGCUGCCUGCACUCGGGCGAUCGCUCAUUUGUCGCGCUCGUGAUUCUGACGAAAUGGUCGUCAUUCACCCGUCUUGAAACACGGACCAAGGAGUCUUACAUAUAUGCGAGUAAUCGAGUGGAAAACUCGCUUGCGCAAUGAAGGUGACUGAAUGUGAUCCCGCAUGCCGGGAGCAACAUCGGGCGGCUAACAUACUUGUACGACCCGGAGCAUAUCUGUAGGGACCCGAAAGAUGGUGAACUAUGCUUGAGCAGGAUGAAGCCAGGGGAAACUCUGGUGGAAGUCCGAAGCGAUACUGACGUGCAAAUCGUUCGUCUGACUUGAGUAUAGGGGCGAAAGACUAAUCGAACUAUCUAGUAGCUGGUUCCCUC
rnacentral:misc_RNA from 1 species